rnacentral:rRNA from 1 species
CGUGUAGGCGGUUGGUUAAGUCGGGUGUGAAAGCCUGGGGGCUCAGCCCCCAGAAGUGCAUCCGAUACUAGCCAGCUAGAGCGCGAUAGAGGAGGGUGGAAUUCCUGGUGUAGCGGUGAAAUGCGUAGAUAUCAGGAGGAACACCGGCGGCGAAGGCGGCCCUCUGGAUCGUUGCUGACGCUGAGACGCGAAAGCGUGGGGAGCAAACAGGAUUAGAUACCCUGGUAGUCCACGCCUUAAACGAUGGGUACUAGGUGUUCGGGGUGUUGACCCCCUGAGUGCCGCAGUUAACGCAUUAAGUACCCCGCCUGGGGACUACGGCCGCAAGGUUAAA